GACGAACGCUGGCGGCGUGCUUUAUACAUGCAAGUCGAACGAUGAAGUUCCUUCGGGAAUGGAUUAGUGGCGAACGGGUGAGGAACACGUGAGAAACCUGCCUUUCAUUCUGGGAUAACACCGGGAAACCGGUGCUAAUACCGGAUACUCCUGCUUGGCGGCAUCGCCGAGCCGGGAAAAAAUUUUGAUGAAAGAUGGUCUCGCGGCCUGGCAGGCAGUUGGUGAGGGAAAGGCUCACCAAGGCGACGACGGGUAACCGGCCUGAGAGGGCGACCGGCAACACUGGGACUGAGACACGGCCCAGACUCCUACGGGAGGCAGCAGUAGGGAAUAUUGGGCAACGGGCGCAAGCCUGACCCAGCGACGCCGCGUGAGGGAUGAAGGUCUUCGGAUUGUAAACCUCUUUCAGUAGGGAAGAAGCGAAAGCGACGGUACCUAAAGAAGAAGCACCGGCUAACUAUGUGCCAGCCGCCGCCGUAA
rnacentral:rRNA from 1 species